CAAACAGCAGUCAGUUGCUGAGCGUGAACGCGCGCGUGUGAUGAUCAUUUUGGCGUGCGAAAAAAUAAUAAUAAUACAUAAAUAUCAACUAAUGACAACAAUAAGAAAUAGUAUAAUUGAUUAAACUCAAUGAGACAAAACAAAUAGUAUCAGAGCGGUCAAAGGUUGAAGCGCGUUGCCGGAAAAAUUUGCGAAUGACAUUGUAGCAGUAGUAAUGAGGAAGUGAGUGAAGAGGAUAAUCUAGAGGAAAUGUUUUGUUAAAAGAAACUGGUUUAUUGCUGAAACCAAAAUUCAUACAAAACGAAAACGCGCAAUUUGCUUAUCAACCGUGGCGAUCUACCCAAGAGACUGCACAGCGGAAAAAAUCGCCUAAUCAUCGGCUCUAAAAUAACAAUAAACCGAAAGGUGCGGCUGCUGGGAGAAGAAAUGUAGAAAGCCGUAAGAAAAAGUAAAAAACAAUUCAGUAUUAAAAAAAGUGUUUGCAAAAUAAAGACUCUUAUCGCCAAAGAAAUUUGCACAAAGUGUAACUGUCAGCAACAGAUAAACACACACAGACAAAUAAGAAAAACUUAAGAAGUGAAUAAACAUAUCGAAGAGAUUUUGAAAACCCCUGUGCCAGAACUAGUGAAGUGAAAAGCAAUAUCCGUAAGAAAUCUGCGUUGUCAGAAAGCUCAUCGCUGUACCUCAAAAAGCUGCUCACAUUUGUGGUACAAAUUCUAGGCGCUGCAACGCGCACGCCCCCGAUCACAACGCAAUCCCUUCGCAACUAAACGUCGUCAAUUGCGACACUCACUUUCCAUCCACUACCGCACACCCUCGCUAACAUGCGCGCCUUCCAACGCGGCUUCUUCUGCGCCGAUCUCUCGCUGCGCUAUCCCUAUCGCGAGUGCACGAUCACCAUACCCAUGCUGCUGAUCUACACGCUACUGCUUCCCAUGCUCUUCAUCAGCGUCGUUGAAAUAAUGCGCAUCUGCAAGUGUUUUCGAUUGCGCAAGUACAUCACCAACCUGGCGCGCAGUUUGGCGACCUUCAGUUACGGCUUCAUCGCCACCUAUCUGACCACAGAGUUGGGCAAAAAUGUGGUGGGCCGCCUGCGUCCGCACUUCUACACCGCCUGCCAGCCGCGCUUGGCCGACGGAAGCUCCUGCGAGAGUGCCUACCAGCAGCUAGUGGGCGGCGGCGUCUACGUUGAACACUACUACUGCUCCAAUCGCAAUUUGAGCGCGCGUCAGCUGCGCGAACUGCACGUGUCCUUCCCGAGCGCACACUCAUCGCUCGCCUUCUACGCCAUGUUGCUGUUAUGUUUCUAUUUGCACGCGGUGUGGCAUGGACGUGGCACUACGCGCGUGCUACGUCACAUACUACAGUUCCUGUUGCUGUUGGUGGGCUGUUAUAUCGCGCUGAGCCGCGUACGCGACUACUGGCAUCACUGGUCGGACGUGCUGGCAGGCGCGUUGUUGGGACUUGUGUACGCCGUCUUGACAGCAGUCUAUGUAGGGCGCAUGCUGCGUGCGAACUUUGCGGAAGCGUGUACGACGCAGAAGCAUAAGAAACAUCAAGCGCAGCAGCAGCAGUACAAGGUGACAAACCAUCAACAGCGCCCGCAUGCGCACCACCAACCACUCGCGUCAUCACAUCAACUCCUGACGCCGCAUGAUGCGCGCAGUCGCAUGCUAUUAGUGGCGGCUAGUGGCAGUGUUACCAACUUGCAGCAGCAACAAUUGCUGGCAAUAGCGCACGAGGAGCACGAGAAGCACGAAAAACAACAGUUGCACGAACAAGUGAAGGAGCAUUUAAUGGAGCGCGGCAGCAUAGGCGGCGGCGGCGGUGGCGGGGACUGUGAAUGGAAACUGCAGGCGGUUGUUUUGCCAACGUAAUUGCAAACAAUGCGCAGCGCCGUGGUGGAGGGAGCGUGCAUUGUGGCACGCGGGAAUGAGGAAGGAGAAGCGAAACUGCGAAAUUGAUGGCGGAACAAAUCUGUAAACACAUCACAUGUCGGCAAGCAUUGUGAUAAGAGUGACGUAGAAAAACGCCCCCUUUUUGCACGCGGCUAAAUGUGCAAAAAAAAAAAACGAUGAGGGAGCGGAAGCGUGGUUAAAGUGCGAGUGGAAUUCUGAGAGUUUUUAAACCUAAGGUGGUGUAAAAGAGCGGCUUUCUAUUGGAAAAUGCGCCAACGAUAAUUGAAAAAAUAAAAAUUGAGAAUCAUGAGAGGGUCCGGACCCCUUCCUACAAACAAGAAGCUUUUAAACAUGUAUCGUAGGCUGAGCAGCAAAAUAUUGAUAUUUUUCAAAAGUGACUCUGCGACCCCCUUGAACCCCCCUACACUACGCCCAUGUUCGCUGACGUAAAUGAAGUCUGCAUGCGAGUAACACUAAAGCACAUAUGAUAUUUGCAACAAAAGCACCAAACAAAAACAACAAAAGCUAAGCAGCCUUCAAUAACCGUACAUAAUUACGGGCCAAGCAGCCAACCAACCAUCAAGCCGAAAAAAGUGUUUUUAAGUAAAAAGGCCAAAAAAUUCACCAUUGACUAUCUAUUAUUGUGCAACAAAAAGUGGCCAAAUCUGAAAGCACCAAAAAGGCAUUGCAAUUUUCUCAGCUACAGUGGCGUCCGCAGUGUUUCAAGCACACAUGUAUGUGCAUGUGUAUUUAAGUAGGUUCGGCUCGAUAUGGCAACAUCAGCCAGCGUGACAGCGCCAGAGCAAGUAGCCAGUAGCGACAGCGGCCGCCGCGUGCCUUUGCUCUGUAGUUGCAUGCCGCGUACGAAGGCAACAACAGCAGGCGCGAGUUGACGUGUGAGUGAGUCACCAGCAACCGAGCUUGGAAAUACGUACAUAUGUAUGUGCCCGCAGUAACAAUUAUGCAUCCAGAGCUAUAAAAAUAUACAAACUCCAGAAGAUCGGUUAAGGUCGCAGAAUAAUAUUCAAGAAUACAUAAAAAUUUCAAAUAAGUUAGAAAAAAAAUAAUAAUUAAAGGUUUUUUAUGCUCAAUCCAACUAGCGAAGUCGAUCGGAAUAAAGAUAAAAUUCAAAUUAUUAAAAUUUGCUUUCAACAUCACUUCAAUAUGCAUACCAAAAAACCACAGAAUUUCCAGCUUAGUUGUGGGCGAAAGUAAUCCACGAUUUUUUAUUUUAUUGA